CGCGUGUGUGCGGCUUGGUGCGGGGCUCACGGCGGAGCCGUUCCCAGACCUCUGCCCCAGCCUUGAAGCCGGGGCACAGGCAUCAGCUGUGUCUGAAGUUUAAACUCAUCCCUCUGUCCUCCCUCCACGAGCCAUCCUGAAUACAGGAUGAACCAGUAUGUCACAACAACAAGGUGGGUACAGCUUAUUACCCGAUUCUUCAGCCAUGGACACUGAGUCUGUGGGCAGAGAGCAACUGAGGAACACAAUUUCACUGCUGCACAGAUUGAGUCCCUAAAGUCAACCAUAAGCUGAUGUUAUUGUAAGCAUUAAACACAUUCCAUUAUAUACAAAAACUUCUUUGAGCUUCAGUUCAUUUUAAGGUAACUGAUUUUCCAAAAUUGAUGACUUCCUAUGCUGGUUUAGAGGAGUAGAAGUCAUGCAAAAUGUAACUGUACAAACCUUUUGCUCUGGGAAGGCCAGUAAGGACGAGAGAGGCAGGAAUUUUCUUGUCAGUAACUGGAUGCAGGAGCGAUGCGUCAUCACUUUGUAAAGAUGGCAUAUCACAGUCUAGCACUUGAUUGUAUAUUCCUAAUUUAACUGAACUUUUAUCUUCUCAGAGUCCAGCUACAAUCCAGACUAAAUUACCUUAUAAUGUUUUGAAAAGACAUGUGAAAAUAUAUCAUUUAUAGUGUGUGAAAAUAGCCAUGAGUAAAAAGGAAAAAAUCUAUUGAGAAUUGAUUCAGGUACUUAUUUUAAGAGGGAAUAAAUUUUAAGUAUGUGUAUAUAAUAAUCUCAGAUGCAUCUAUGAAGUAAUUAAUUAGUAGGCAUUUUAUACCAUCUGACAGUGAUUGUAGCACUGUGAUUGGAUUGUUUCUAGACAGGAAAUAGAAAUCUUAUUAAUUGCCAAGCCUAAGGUGAAGUGCAGGUCUCAACGUAUUCUAAUGUUUUACCCCAACUACAUGAAAAAUACUUAUGCUGAUUUUUUUUUUUCUGGUCCACUGCCACUCCAUCCUGAAACUAUGUUGUUCACCUUUCUUCAGUACAAGACACACAAACUGUUCUUUGAAGGAAAGGACAGUCACCUUUUGUAUAACCACCUGGACACACCAUUGCUGCCUGCAUUUCACCCAACCUCUACUCCAGCAUUAAUACCCAGUCAGUUAUUUCUCCAGCUGUUCCACAAAUGCCUUCUAUUUCCUUAAUAAAUGUGUUUCUGCACUGCACCUCCCAUCCUCAACAGCCACAUUCCUCUGCAAGUGAUUCCUGUCUACUGUAGUUCUGAUGGCAAAUUCCUUGCUCAGAGGAGUUGGGCAAAUCUCUGGCAAGGGUUAUUGAUACUCAAAAAAUAAAGAUCUUAAGUGGGAACAUGAUGAAUACAAUCUAUGUAUCCAUUCCUAUUGCUUUUAUUCUUGUCCUUCUUUUUCUACUCUUUCAUUUCUUACAGCCACUUACUGAAUCUGGUCUAAAUUUAGGCCUCUGUCCUAUCAACUAACCCAGUCCCUCUUGGCCCCUGUGCCCACAUGAAAUGCUGGUGAAAGCUGCACCUGAGCAGAGGAUUUUAUCCUCCAGGUGAGGUGGUAGAUUAGUAGGCAAAGGAGAUCCCUUAAUGUGUGCUCUGGAGGUCAACGGAGCUGUGAGACUGGCUGCAGCCUCCUGGCAUUCUCUCCACAUUAGUCAUUGUAAUGAGAGAUGAAGUUAAAGAGCUGCUAUCAUCUUUAAAAUGCCAUUGAAGAAAUGAGCUUCAUUUUGUGAGGCUGGCCUGCUCCCGAACCUCCCUGAAAUAUAAAAAUAAAUCUAACUCAGGCUGUUUAUUUUUAAAACGCUCUCAAGCCUGUGUUCCUCUGCAUGUGUGGCAAGCUGAGCCUUCAGGAACGAGAGCGAGUCCUGGGUCUGCACUGUGUUUCUGCCCUCAAGGUGAGAUAUCCUAGCCAUGUUGAAACCGGGGAGGCCCACCCUGCCCUGUUGGUGGGAUUCCCCUGUCUUCAGCAGGGCCUUAUGGCUACUGCAGGGAAAAC